CUGAAAGAUUGGACUUUGUGGAUCAAACAAUGAGGCUCUUUCAGGAAACCGAAAAUCUUGAUGUGUUUAGCACAUUGGAAAAUGCUAAUUCAUAUGAAAAAGUAGAAACCUAUGACAUAAAUGGAUUGUUUGCUUCCUUAAUCUCAUCCCAAAAUUCGAGUAACAAGUUCACUCCAGUUUUUGGUGAUGACAAUUACAAACAGUUGGGGCAAAACAAUUGCUCUGCAUUGAACUCUAAUCAAUGCUCGCCUUCUGUAUCUGAUAUUCAUUGCAAAAAAAUGAAGUUAUUAGUCUGUUUUUCUGUUUGAGUUCAAUUAUAUUUUCUGUUUUUGUCAUACAGUUAUUUUUUUUCCCAUUUUCUAUCUUAAUUUUUUUUGGCAUUAUUAAAGAUGAACUCCUUCUAUAUGGAAUCUGUGAAGCUGUUGAUGGAGAGAAGGAUCCUCAUUGCUUGUUGCUAGCAUUUGACAUCAUUCGUGCAUUGAUUCAAGUAUUUCCAGAUCCUAAUGGGCCGCUAGAAAUUUUUUCUGGAGAGCUUUUUGAAACUUUGAGCAGUUACUUUCCCAUUCAUUUUACUCAUCCAAAAGGAGAGGACACUGAUGUCAAAAGAGAUGAUCUUGCAAGGGCUCUAAUGGUAGCUUUCUCAUCAACACCUCUUCUUGAGCCAUAUGUCAUUCCCUUGCUUCUUGAAAAACUCUCUUCUUCUCUGCUUUUUCUAUAAGUAAUUUUAGAACCAAUGUCAUGAGA